rnacentral:rRNA from 1 species
AGGACGAACGCUGGCGGCGCGCUUAGCACAUGCAAGUCGAGCGAGAACCGAAGCCUUCGGGCAUCGGGGAAAGCGGCGAACGGGUGAGUAACACGUGGGCAACCCACCCUUGGUACCGGGAUAGCCCGGGGAAACCCGGAUUAAUACCGGAUGGCCCAGCAGCCUUUCGGGGCGGCUGGAAAAGGGAGCUUCGGCCUCCGACCAAGGACGGGCCCGCGGCGGAUUAGCUUGUUGGUGGGGUAACGGCCUACCAAGGCGACGAUCCGUAGC